GCGGGCGUAGCUCAGCGGUAGAGCGCCACCUUGCCAAGGUGGAUGUCGAGAGUUCGAUCCUCUUCGCCCGCUCCA
rnacentral:tRNA from 6 species